rnacentral:rRNA from 1 species
UACGGGGGGGGCAAGCGUUGUUCGGAAUUACUGGGCGUAAAGGGCUCGUAGGUGGCCAACUCAGUCGGACGUGAAAUCCCUCGGCUUAACCGGGGAACUGCGUCCGAUACUGGAUGGCUUGAGAUCGGGAGAGGGAUGCGGAAUUCCAGGUGUAGCGGUGAAAUGCGUAGAUAUCUGGAGGAACACCGGUGGCGAAGGCGGCAUCCUGGACCGACACUGACGCUGAGGAGCGAAAGCCAGGGGAGCAAACG